rfam:Leclercia adecarboxylata strain I1 Leclercia_S84_R1__paired__contig_24, whole genome shotgun sequence.
CAUGGCUGGUGGCGCACUUCCUGAAAUUCGGGCAGUGUCGUACGUCUGCAAUGUGCAAACAGAUACCUGGCCCGCCACUGAGCGGGCUUUUUUUU